CGGGGCUUGUCCGCUCCACGCGACGGUCCGAGCAUCAGCAGCCAGCACCUGAUGACAGCCAAACAGACAAGAGCAGGUGAUGACGCAGCAUAAGGAGCACCUGGUGGUUCAGUAUCUUGCUCAAAGGCACUUCGACGUGGUAGCAGUGACCGGGGAUCAAACCACCAACCUCUCGGUUGGGAAACGACCGCUCUACCCACCGAGCCAAGCCGCCUCUGACUAAGGUACAAAGUGUGACUGAUGGAUGGGUGAAAUAUGAAUUGUAUGGGAUGAUACGCCUUGUCAAUUAAUGGAAAGUUGGCUUGAUGGUUGGUCAGGAAUGAAUUAUGACAAGUUGAAGACGGUUGAUCAGUCAAAAAUGAGGUGUGCGGGGACAAAAGGAGGAGUUGGCGAGAGGGGUAAAUGAUGACUGAUGGCUACAACAUGAUGGAUGGAUCAUGGGUCAAACAUGAUUGUUACAGAUUGAAAUGUGAUGGGUAACAGAUGAUGGAAGAUGAGUACAGAAUGAUGGAGGAUGAAAAGAAAUCAGAGUCAUGUAAAAUAUGAUGGAUGAUUAGAAAAGAAUGACGGGUGACACGUCAAGGAUGAAGUAUGAAAUGCGAUUAGUAGAAUGGCUAAUGGAUGAUGGAUGAUGAGCCAUUAAUGAUAAUGGGAUAUGGAUGAAUUGUGAUGGGUUAGACGAUCAAUUGUCAAAGGUAAACCGUGAUGAAUGAUAAAAGACAAAUUGAUGAUGAAUUGGUGGAUGAACAAAUUGAGAAAAAAUAUUGUCAGAUGACAGUUGGAUGAAUCCACAACACACACACGUCGACAACAGUGAAAUCUCACAGUGAACGUAUUGCGGAUCAUCCAGAUCCCCCCACUGAUUUGUUUCGACUGUCUCCUUGAGUAAACUGCUAAUGUGUAUUGAUCUGUCCCGUCAGCUGAGGGCUAAGAGCCCAAAGGUCAAGUAUUGCACAGUAGGCAGUGGCUGUGAUCUGAGAGAAAUAGUUUUUUUUUUUUUUUUGUAAGGUGAAGUGCACUAUGUUUGACCUCUGCGCCUUCACUUAUCACACAUAGGACACUGCACAACAAUAGUGUAACGCCCACACCAACAGAGCCCCGUGAAUGGAGCUAAUGAAAUGUAAGGAAGGAGAGGCCGUUGUCGCGAAUAUUAAUGGGCUCGUGUCAAGUCAAAUUCAGAGCAGGCGUCUUAUCUAAUUUGACUCGGACCGCUUCGGGGGUCCCACUCCACGUUUUGAUGGAUGGCUAUUUUCAAUUGUGCUCAUUAAUGCACUUGAAGCACUAUGAUUAAAGUUUCUAUUGACUUGGAUGGAGUUUAGGUUUCACAUCAGUUUGUAAGUAGGACGAUGAGGUGAGAGAAAACCCCGCACAAGGAGACAAGCAAGAAGCUAGCCCUGGUGUACGGGUGGUUAUUGAGCGUUAGAUUAAAAAAAAGACGAGAAGGCAGAUCCCCCCCCCCCCCCAUUGUGCUUCAUUGAGACAUAAUUUUUCCACAUGGACACAAAAAGAUGGGUGGGAGCAGCUGAGGCUUUUGCAGGCUCCUUUUGCAUGUAAAGAACGCUCCGCGCUCUCUUAUUAAGAUGUCUAUACAUUCCCGUCUGUGCUGUAUUUUCAUGUAUUGUCUCACAAAUCUGUCUGAUAAAAGAGAUUAUUGUAGGCUUAAUUCGCUGACAAUGCGCAGCACAUUCUAUUUCAUGUAGCUGUUAAUAUUUUAAUGCCAUCGUCUUGGCUCUCGUUCUCAGACAAUAACAGAAAUACGGUGCAAAGAAGAAAAAACAAAACAAAAAAGAAAAAUACAUUUCAAAUAGGUGGAAUUGGAGACAUUAUCAGUUUGUUAGAUAAGCUGUACAGAAAAUGGAUGGAUGGAUUGUUAUGGCGUGCUGCUUAGUUGGAGACCUUUUUAGUCCUAAAUGGAAUACCUAAGGACCAUCAAGAAUGACAAAUGUAGCGUCGCAGAGAACAACUAAAUGAACGGACUUCUGACCCGCGCCUGAUCUAGAAUCUAUAUAUGGCUACGGGCGUCCAAAUCGUACAUCAGCCCGUGUGGUCCGGGGGGGGGGGGGGGCUCGCUCUGCCACACUGAGCCGCAGUGACGAUGCAGUCCAAUGAUAGUUAUAGUUUUCUUUUUUUCUUCAACUUCCUCAUUGUCCGAUGCCAAAUGGCUCCACUAAGUCAACCCUCUCUCGCUCACGCUGGGCUAAUUAGUCAGCAUGUCCGUUUUGUGUGUGCAGAAAGUGGAGUGGGAAAUAUAGCGAACGCCAACCGGCACGGCGACGGCGUACAACAAUCACUUGAAGGAAUGGAGCAGAUGGUGGAGGGGGAAAAAAAAACAAAAGAAAAAAACUCCACCAAUGAAGUCUAAAUGUGUUUGAAAGUGAACUUGGGCAACUACACACUUGAACCGGUUCUAUUAUAAGAGCUGGACCCCAUCGCCGAGUUGCUAAUUGUAGAAUUCUGGCUCCCUUCUCUUAUUAGCUAGCUUCCAAUAAUCUUCACCUUGCUUCUAAAUUGGUGUCAUUGAUCUCGCAUCACGCACCACAGGAUGGGAAUUCGGCUGAUCUGUUGAAAAUUGAUCCAAUUGACAAAUGAACUUGAGUGCGUUAUUAUUGGACGUACUCAGUAGCAAGUGCUGAGGUCAUCCGAACGCACUUUGUAUGGUAAAAUGGAGGAUAAAGUCAGCUACAUAUUUUUAAGUGACGCAAACGAAAUAACUUUCUUUCGUUCGUUUUUUUGAUUGGUGUCGUGAAUUUCGAGUACGUCUCGAAGAUGGAAUGCCGAAUGAAAGUGCAGACUGUUAUGUUAGCUUCAUGUGCAUGCAGAUUUUGGUAAAAUUCUACUUCCUGUAUUUUUCAUUCCCAUUAAUUCCACGGCCAAAUUUUCAAGUGUAAAAAGCCGUGCAAGGCUUUUUGCAAAGGCUCUAUGUUACCUUAUAGCAUAAGCGACAACCAGUUAGCUGCUGUAGUGUUAGCCUACUAGCAUAGUCAUUUUGGAUUGAAUCAACAGAAUUUUUUUUUAAAAACAAUUUUGUCUUAUUUUUCCAAAAACAUUCAAAUCAAAAACAUUCAAAUAUAAUUCAGGCUAACAAUAUACUAGUCACACGUCAUCAUAUUCAAUGUUCUGCACCAAGUUGCGCUUUAUGAAUAAUCUGUCGGUAUUUACAGCCCCCUCCGUAUUGUAGGUGUAUUUAGACCACCUCGCUGCCUCUUCUGUCAGACCACCACGUGCCCUAGUAAUGUGAUCAUCUUCCCUCUUAGGGAUUUAUGCCCUAUUCCCAACAAUACCGGAUUAAAUUACACCAUCGCCCAGUCAAGAAGGCUCAUAUGUCAAUUUUCACGAUUAUUUCUACCCAGCCUACAAUAAUGCGCCUUGUGAUCCAGCCCCUUAACAGCGAAGAGCACAAAAGGAGCAUCGUAAGCGUGACCAGGGUGCCAGAUGUUUGAACAUGUGCUUUGUAGACUCAUUGGCCAGGCAACUAGAUUAACAUAGAUUAGACCCGAAUUUUGCGUUGACAAUUUUAUGGAUCUUGUACUGUAUUUCAAUCGCAUUCUUGCCACAGACGUGCCAAAAACCGCUGUCAAAUUCUGUCUUUGUCAGCUCUGGUGACUCAGCUUCGAGUUUCGACUGGCAAAAAGUCCCUCUGAGCAUCCAUUCGGGUGCCAAAAUGUUUUGACGUAAAACUGCUCGGGCGUUAUAUGUGAAGAAUUCUUCUUCGCCUCACGGCUGCAAACUCAGUUAUUCGAGCAUGUAUUCAAGAUCCUUAAUAUCCAUCUUAAGGUCAAACGAGUAGGCCAAAAAUGGUACUAGUAAUGGGAAAAGAGUGUGCUUCACUGUCUUACUAGUGAGGAAAAAGACAAGAAUAAAAGCUCAAACCGGUUUUUCUAUGCUAGUGGAGAUGAUAGAGAGAGGAAAAGAAGGAUGAGAUAGAGAGAAAAGAGGCACCGUGAUGUUUCUAUGGCCGCUCGGAGAAGAUUCGGAAGGGUGAUGGAAUCUUGCAUCACCGCUGCCAGCCAACCAAUUGGACGGCUCGAUUCCAGUGUUCAAAAAGAGUGACCUAGCAACAGUGGAAUAAAUACUCUACCUUGAAUUU